rnacentral:rRNA from 1 species
UACGUAGGGGGCAAGCGUUGUCCGGAUUUAUUGGGCGUAAAGAGCGUGUAGGCGGCCAGAUAGGUCCGUUGUGAAAACUCGAGGCUCAACCUCGAGACGCCGAUGGAAACCAUUUGGCUAGAGUCCGGAAGAGGAGAGUGGAAUUCCUGGUGUAGCGGUGAAAUGCGCAGAUAUCAGGAAGAACACCCGUGGCUAAGGCGGCUCUCUAGUACGGUACUGACGCUGAUGUGCGAAAGCGUGGGGAGCAAACAGG